rnacentral:rRNA from 1 species
GACGAACGCUGGCGGCGUGCUUUAGACAUGCAAGUCGAACGAGAUCUUCGGAUCUAGUGGCGAACGGCGGAGUAAUACAUAAACAACGUGCCCUGAAGACUGGGAUAUACGGUCGAAAGGCCGAGCAAUACCGGAUGUGGCCGAGACUAGGCAUCUAGACUCGAUUAAAUGGUUUUCGCUUCAGGAGCGGUUUAUGACUCAUCAGCUAGUUGGUAGGGUAAUGGCCUACCAAGGCUACGACGGGUAGGGGGUCUGAGAGGAUGAUCCCCCGAGUGGGACUGAGACACGGCCACACACCUACGGUGGCAGCAGUUUGGAAUCUUGCCCAAUGGGGGAAGGCCCUGAGGCAGCGACGCCGCGUGGAGGAUGAAGGA